CGUCACAGCACAAACAUUUCACAACUCGGAUUGGACAUGACCCCAAAACUCCCUCUGUCGGUGCCCGGCCCCCAAAGGAGCUCACACAGGUCUUUCACUAAUCUACUCAUGGUGCCCGACCCUAGAAGGGCUCUCACAGGACUUAUCCAAGUAAAAUGCCCGGCCCCAAAGGAGCUCUCACAGGACUCACAAUAAUGACAGACUUAUGGGCUAUUGGAGUCGCCUCGGUCCAAUCCACAUAGACAAAUAAUAAUGCAAUGCAUCAUCUUCGUGUAUACUCGUGCAAUGCAAAGCCUCCUACAUAUCAUGGCAUUAAUGAUGCGUGAAUCAUGCUAAAACAUUCUUUAACUUAAAAACAAAGUUCUGUUCCACUCACCUCUGUCAACUGCUGAGCAGUCUCUGUAACUCUAACUCUGUGGGCCUUCUGGGUUCCUCGGGUCCGCACCUACACAGGUGGACUCAAAUGAGGACCAAACUCACUUAUACACAACGCUGAAUAUCUCCCCAAAACCCCUCUAAAACAUCAUAAGCAUGCAUGGAAAAAUGGGCAAACGAAGGCUGGACAGGGCACCUUCGGCGGCACUUUCGGCGGCCGAAACCCCCCUCCAGAGACGAAACUCAUGCAUGUUCGGCGGCACUUUCGGCGGCCGAAGGUCUCGUCCAGAGACGAAACUCACACACUUUCGGCGGCCGAACUUCCUCUUUCGGCGGCCGAAAGUCCUUUUCUAAACCGAAAUCCUAGCUUUCGGGGGCAGGCUUUGGCAGCCGAAACUGCCUCCACAAGGGGUUCGGCGGCCGAACCUGGAUUCUCCAGAAAGGCAGAAUCCGAGCACAACUCAUGCUCUCAGCCUCCAAAAACCUAUAAAACACCCAUAACAUGCAUACCAACACUUUUUAACUAGCACAUAACAUAUCUCAUGCAUAUAGGGGCCUAUAAACUAGCUCAAACCCCAUAAGCAACUUCAAAACUCAUCAAAGCUCAUAUGAUCAACAUAUGCUUAAACUCAUGGUUACACCCCAAAACAUGCUAUAAAACUCUCUAAAAACUCUUAAAACAUACUUUAACCAUAAGGGGAGGUGAGGAUCCAUGCUUACCUCUUGAAGAACUAGAGGAUUGAUGGUCCAAGCUUGGAGAUGGGUGUAAAACUCAAUCAAAGUCUCCAAGUGCUCACUUCGCUUCCUUUUGCUUAAAACUCUAAAACAAAGCUCAAAACAUGUUAAAACAUGCAAGAUUUGAGGAAAACAUGAAAAAUCCUGUAAUCCCAAAGCGACAAACUCCUCUGUGCGCUUUACCGCACCUACUGCAUACUGGAACCUCUGAACCUGAACUCAUGCCACUGCCCAAUCCCAGACCUGCUUUAAUCUUAUUCCAGAACUUAUUCUUCCUCGACUUCUGAGUGGAACCACUCCACUUCUUCCCACUGGAAGCUGCUGCACCCUGUGAAGAGGGAUCUGAUUUCCCCUUGCCUGGGGUCUUAGGACCUGAGGACUGUGCCGUCUGCUGUUUCACUGUACCCUGUAUAAUGGCACUAGCCUCCAUCCUUCGUGCUAAAUCCACCACGGUGUGGAAACUCUCCCUCUCGGCUGCAUGGAUCAAGGAGGAAUACCUGGAAUGAAGUUUCAUAACAUACCUCCUGGCCUUUUUCUGUUCAGUAUCAUAGGCUUGUCCUGCAUACCGCAGCAACUCUAGAAACCUGUUAGUAAACUCAUCUAUACUCAUAUCCUCUGUCUGCUUAAGCUGCUCAAACUCUCUCUCGAGCUAUCUGGAAACGCCCAACCGGCAAACUCGUUUGCAAACUCCUCCCAUGACAUGUUAUCCACUCUAGGGUCCACAUAAUCACUAAACCAUUCCUUUGCCUUCUUGCAUUUUAAAGUGAACCCUGCCAUCUGAAUGGCUCUGGUAUCAUCUGCCCCUAGCUCAUCUGCUAUCAUCUUUACUGCUUUAAUGUACUCAAACGGAUCAUCUCCAGUUUGGUACUUAGGAGCAUCUAGCUUUAGGUAGUCAGUCAUCUUUACCCUGCUCCUCUCAGAUGGGCCAGGUUGAGGUGUUAGGAUAACUGGGGCUUCUGGUUCUACCACUGGUGGUGGUGGUGGAGGUGGUGCAGAACUCUCUGGUAUAGGGUGUGCUGGACUGGGGUAAAAAGGUGAGGGUGGAUACAUGGGAUAUGGUGGAUAUGGUGGGUAAUAAGGUGGAUAAGGCAUAUAUGUGGGAUAUGGGUGAAAACUAGGAUACUCCGAUGUGCCUCCCAUCGAAUAUCCUGGGCCCUGUGGGUAGGGCUGAUAGUGGGGUGGAUAACCAUACCCCGAGGCCUGACCGCCUCCCUGUGAUGAUCCCACAUCCUCCUCUGUAGUGCCAACACCUAACCCUCCAUCCCUUCUUGAAUCCACAUCCAUCUCUUCCCUUGUAUCACUAGAUCUUCUUCUCUGUUCUGUUUCCCUCCUGCCUUCAUCAAAAGACCUUCGAGGGUCCCUUGAUGAUCUUUCUCUGCCUGCCCUUUGGGACAUAGCUCUUGGUAAAGCAGGGGAUGCCCUUCCAUGCCCUCAUUCUCGGGCAGAGCUCCAGUCAAUCUAGCGGAUCGACGGGUUCCUCUCAUCUUAGCUUCUGAAAACAUAACAUAAACUUAAACUUUAGCAUCACAUGAUCCACGUAAAAACACGAACCCGCAACUCAUAGCAUAACAUAUCAUAAAAAUGCACAUGCAUAAGAUCAUGGCAUUACACAUCAUCAAGACAGGACUCAACAUCCUAUCCUAGUGGACAUGAUCUUUCCUAUUGUGCUUGCCCUCUAAAACAACCUCUUUCCGAUGUGAGAUAUCUCUAAUCCCUGAGCAUCUUAGCUCAGCACACCGUACUCUAGAGGCCCUAGGCUCUGAUACCAAUCUGUAACAGCCCGCUUAUCGGACCGCCACUGGCACUAGGAUCCAGAUCGACUUAAGACCGCCGGGACCCGUAGUAAGCCUAUUGUAAACUCUGUGUAUCUGAUAAAGCCCAUACAUGAUCAUACUUAAGCUUAAAACUCUUACUCUCUUCUUAUUUUCUUUUUUUUUUCUUUUUGCUUUUCUAAUCUUGUCUACACUAAGCUUGGACUAUGCAUGCCCUGUCUGUAUGCACUCAGAGAGUGAUACCUGCUGUGGUACCAUACAGUAACUACAGAGAUAGCAACCCCUCACUAGAGUCCUCAUCAAUGCUCUAGAUGGGUUAUACUACCAUGCUCCAAGCCUAGCUCUCAUCAUAAUGACAUCCUCUCAUCCAUAAACUCAAACAUAAAACAUAGACAUAAAAUGAUCAUGUGCAAAGGGAUAAACAUACACUAGGGCCAAGCACAGUUCUAUAACUCAGUACAUAACUUGCUAUUACAUCAUUUCUAUAUAUAUUACAUAAACUCUGUACUGUACAUCAUGUCCACUUUCUAUGCUAUUACAUAUGCUUUUACCCUUGCUUUCUCUUUCUCUUUCUCUUCUCUGAGGCCCUGAAAACAUGGGGUUAGGGAGAGGGAUGAGCUACUAGAGCCCAGUGAGCGGAAACCAUAAACACAUUUAAAACAUGCUAUCAUGACAUGCGUCACAGCACAAACAUUUCACAACUCGGAUUGGACAUGACCCCAAAACUCCCUCUGUCGGUGCCCAGCCCCCAAAGGAGCUCACACAGGUCUUUCACUAAUCUACUCAUGGUGCCCGACCCUAGAAGGGCUCUCACAGGACUUAUCCAAGUAAAAUGCCCGGCCCCAAAGGAGCUCUCACAGGACUCACAAUAAUGACA
rnacentral:lncRNA from 1 species